rnacentral:sRNA from 1 species
CAGUGUUGCUUUGGAAUUCAUUUUCUGCUGCUGCCGCAGCUAAAACAGGGUGGCAACUCAGCGGCGCAACAACUAAAAUCCUCCGUCGAGCGCAUUGAAAACACAGCAGUAGCUGACGGCAAAAAAAAAAUAGUUUAUAUAUCAUUCAUUACCUAUAAGCAAAUAAUCACAAUCAGUGGUUAUUUUUAUUAGCGGUGAGCGGUACCGCAUGCAAAUCGUCGCAAAAUGGCGCUUAGAAUUUGGAUAAGAAACGAAAUACGUGAAGCUUACGUAAGUGCGAGGACCAACAACAACGCUGGGAAGAGAGAAAACAAGUUGUUAAGCAAACAGGGUGUACCGUUGUCACCCAGCCAUGUGGUGGAAACGAUGAUCGGAGCAUCUGGGUGAGACACCCUGUUUGCGGCAAAGAGAGAGAGCGGCUGUGAGAGCAGCGCACUCACACAAGCGAAACGAGUAUACAGCGGAUAGCGACGUCGGCAGAGCGUUUUAGCCGACCAUUGCAGUACAUAUGUGAAAUCGACGAAACCGAAAAUCAGAAACCAAACGGACCACUAGCGAGCUACAACUCUGCCACGGCUACACUUUACACACUCAUGUACUCCUCCACCACCUCACUCGCCAGCGCACUCACACACAGACGCGUGCGUGCGGAGAGAGGAAGUAAAAAAUAUGAAGACAAAAAAAAGCAAGUGCAUCUCACCAUGACAAUGGCGGAACCAUAAAAACACAUGUUCCCAUCUCGAAUUGAACCGAAUUCGGCGGCCAGCUCCUUCACAAAAUAAAAUAAUACAGGAAAAAAAUCUGUAUACGCGCAAAAGUUGAGCUGCUAAAACAUGGAAACCUUGCAGUUAUCGAUUCGUCUCGCUCAUUGCGCAAUGAAAAAAAAUGCAGCGGGGGCGGCGGAUUCGAGAGAGCCUCUCUCUUUGUGAGCCACCUGCAGCGAUAGGAAAUGCAAAUCCAUCCGCCUUCCACUUUCCAGCUCGAAAGUUCAAAGUUCACAUGCAACUAACUACUGGGUGCAGCGCAUGUCCGAGGUGCACCGAAGUCCCUGGACCAAACAAAAAAAUGGCACAAACCAAACUCUCCGAUUUCCAGGCGCCGCAGGAAGAUCUCGACGUCAUGAAAUGCGGCACUAGGAAAUAUUUACUGAAUACAACGCUGAUCAAGUGAUAUCUGAAAUGUGGUAAAGUGCUUCUUGUCACACGGACACGGAUCUCUAUAAAAAACCAAUUAGUUUGAUAUUCGUACGUGUUCUGCAAAUUAUCAGAUGUUUUUAACUCUCUUGAGUCACAUGAUAUUUAUUGUGAUAAAUACUUUUGGUUAUUUAUUGUUUGUUUGUCCUAAAAAAUUGACAACACAGAAAAUGGAAGACUUUUUAUUUAUUGCUUUACUAUAAAAUAUAUUCAUUUUUUUGAGAAAAAUGUUAAUAUGAAACUUAAAGUGUCUUUUUAACUUUAUUAUUAAUUCCCAUCAAAACUAUAAAUCUAUUUAUGGAUUAGAGAACCCUCCUCUUUAUGUAAAAGAUUAUUCACAAAUGUGCCGUUGAGCCAAAAUACGUGUUGUAUCAAAAUUAUAAGCAAUUGGAAAGUUUAUAAAUUAAAACAGCGAUUAUACAUUUGGGAAUAGAAAUAACACGAUAGAACACAACGGCUUCAGUCUUGUUUACUAAUUCAAUACUUAUCAAAAUGUUAAAAUAGUAUAUUCCAACAUUCAGUUCAACUCUUAAGUUUUAAUAAUAUUUCGUCAUUAUAUUGACUUGAAAAGGUUACAACUAAAUAUGUGUAAAAGUGUUCAACGUCUAAUACACUUCAACUUCGUUCCGACCAUCAAGUUCAAGAGACUUGUUCGUUGGCCUCUGGCUAAAAUACAAUUGCGAAUUGCAAACAAUUGGUUGGCGA